rnacentral:rRNA from 1 species
UAGGGAAUCUUCGGCAAUGGGGGGAACCCUGACCGAGCAACGCCGCGUGAGUGAAGAAGGUUUUCGGAUCGUAAAGCUCUGUUGUUAAGGAAGAACGUGUGUGAGAGUGGAAAGUUCACACAGUGACGGUACUUAACCAGAAAGGGACGGCUAACUACGUGCCAGCAGCCGCGGUAAUACGGAGGGUGCGAGCGUUAAUCGGAAUAACUGGGCGUAAAGGGCACGCAGGCGGUUAUUUAAGUGAGGUGUGAAAGCCCCGGGCUUAACCUGGGAAUUGCAUUUCAGACUGGGUAACUAGAGUACUUUAGGGAGGGGUAGAAUUCCACGUGUAGCGGUGAAAUGCGUAGAGAUGUGGAGGAAUACCGAAGGCGAAGGCAGCCCCUUGGGAAUGUACUGACGCUCAUGUGCGAAAGCGUGGGGAGCAAACAGGAUUAGAUACCCUGGUAGUCCACGCUGUAAACGCUGUCGAUUUGGGGAUUGGGCUUUAAGCUUGGUGCCCGUAGCUAACGUGAUAAAUCGACCGCCUGGGGAGUACGGCCGCAAGGUUA